UAUUCCCAAUUCGCCCUUAUAGUUGGAUCCUGGCUCAGGACGAACGCUGGCGGCGUGCCUAACACAUGCAAGUCGAACGAGGUCCAUGCAGUGGCAACACUGCGGAAGACCUAGUGGCGAACGGGUGAGUAACACGUGAGGAACUUGCCCCGGAGACCGGGAUAACCCUCCGAAAGGAGAGCUAAUACCGGAUGUCCUCACCGAGUCGCAUGGCUUGGUGAGGAAAUGGAUUCCGCUCCGGGAGAGCCUCGCGGCCUAUCAGCUAGUUGGUGGGGUAACGGCCCACCAAGGCGUCGACGGGUAGCUGGUCUGAGAGGACGAUCAGCCACACUGGGACUGAGACACGGCCCAGACUCCUACGGGAGGCAGCAGUGGGGAAUCUUGCGCAAUGGGCGAAAGCCUGACGCAGCAACGCCGCGUGCGGGAUGAAGGUCCUCGGGUUGUAAACCGCUUUCAGUGGGGACGAACCAAGACGGUACCCACAGAAGAAGCCCCGGCCAACUACGUGCCAGCAGCCGCGGUAACACGUAGGGGGCAAGCGUUGUCCGGAUUCAUUGGGCGUAAAGAGCUCGUAGGCGGUUCGAUAAGUCGGGUGUGAAACCUCCAGGCUCAACCUGGAGACGCCACCCGAUACUGUCGUGACUAGAGUCCAGUAGGGGAGCGUGGAAUUCCUGGUGUAGCGGUGAAAUGCGCAGAUAUCAGGAGGAACACCAGCAGCGAAGGCGGCGCUCUGGGCUGGAACUGACGCUGAGGAGCGAAAGCGUGGGGAGCGAACAGGAUUAGAUACCCUGGUAGUCCACGCCGUAAACGUUGGGUACUAGGUGUGGGGUCUUAUCAACGGAUUCCGUGCCGAAGCUAACGCAUUAAGUACCCCGCCUGGGGAGCCCGGCCGCAAGGCUAAAACCCAUAAGAACUGAC
rnacentral:rRNA from 1 species